GUCCCUGUAGCUCAGUUGGUAGAGCAUGGUGUUUGCAACGCCAGGGUUGUGGGUUUCAUUCCCACGGGGGACC
rfam:Salmo salar isolate Sally breed double haploid chromosome ssa20, whole genome shotgun sequence.